rnacentral:rRNA from 1 species
UACAGAGGGGGCAAGCGUUAUUCGGAAUUAUUGGGCGUAAAGGGUGCGUAGGCGGCUUAUUAAGUCAGGGGUGAAAGACGGUGGCUCAACCAUCGCAGUGCCCUUGAUACUGAUGAGCUUGAAUACACUUGAGGUAGGCGGAAUGUGACAAGUAGCGGUGAAAUGCAUAGAUAUGUCACAGAACACCAAUUGCGAAGGCAGCUUACUAAGGUGCAAUUGACGCUGAGGCACGAAAGCGUGGGGAGUC